rnacentral:lncRNA from 1 species
AUGGGUUACGGAGAGAUAAUGUCCUUUCUAAAAUUAGAAUCUUACAGGUCUAGGGAAAUAUCGAUGGUGGAGCUACCCAACCACAAAUUUCAGCUGCGUUUGAAAGGAACCCCGCAUGAUCCUUAUGAGGACCCCCCCCCCCCCCCGUUAUGUCUGAUGAAACUUCUGUCCGUUGUUCAGCUAGUUAUUCUGAUCAAAAGCUCUGAUGGGCCGAAAGAGAGCCUAUGUACAGUUUUCGAGAUAUUCGCCAUUUUAUGUGCGAGGACGGAGAUUUCGCGCGCUACCGCCGGCUGGACUAUUAUACGGUGCUACUCGUGCCCUUCCCUCCCAGCACAAUCUGGUCCCUCUUCGCUACCACGCCUCCCGUACGUAAACUUCUCUGCGGCUCCAAAUCUGACGCUUACGGAGUCGAGCCCGCGCACAAACUAGGGGCUUCUAAAAGGCUCAUCGAUGGAACUGUUUGACUGCUGCCUUUCAAAGAUCUUCGAAGGUAACCGAUUUGUUUGGGACAAAUCACAAAUCAGAUCUUGAAAUUUUCAAAAAAUUUUGAGCAGAAAUGGCUAAUAAAUUGAAGAAUUCCUACUAGUUUGAGAGCCCUAGAUCCCCAGUUUUCAGGUGGGCUGGACGCUUAUGAGGCAGUGCCCACCAUCACCGGACCGCACCACACACCCCCACGCCGUUUCUUUACGCCGCUCAAUGAUGGUGGACAUUUCUGCCGUGCUAGGGAAAAACGCCGUAUGAGCCUUCAGGCGUUGCCAAAUUUCCUUUGAUAAAACACGAAUUUCCGUAAACUUAUGAACAUUUUCUUCCUAAUUUUGUAGACGAUUUUGCUUGCAAAUUCAUCUGAAGUUUCUGAAAAUUUCAAGGAAACAUAUCCAUAACUUUCCUAAAAAAUAAACAGUUUAUCAGAAGAAAUUUGGCAUCAUCUCUGGCAAAAAUUGAAAAAUGUUUGAACGGAGACACAGCGUUUACAUUUUGGACUGGAGUAAUGCUCCUACACGUUAUGAAUCUAACUUGCACGUGUCGACAAUGAGUCAGUCAAGUCAUUUUUUUUAUUUGUGUCAUUCGAAAGUAGUAAGUGACCGAAGCUUACGGUUUUUUCCCUAAAUUUUUUUGAUGACUGUAAACGGGAGAAAAGUUUAUUUGAAAGUGCCAAAAAUUAGGGUGGCCUAAAACACGGCGUUUGAACUGCGCGCUCGUAGGUUUUGCAUGUAAACGUCACGAUCAAUAUGGCGGCGGAAUGCGUAGUGGAAAAUACACGGCGGCGUCACGUUGGCGGUGUGUUUUGUUGGUCAAUUUGAGGUUAUGUAGGUUACUUUGUUUGAGAUUCAUAUCCAUUGUUCUUAAUUUUCUAAGCUUUCCAAUCAGA